AUUGGGACCCGAACACUAGCAUUGACUUGUCUAUAUAAUGCAGUAAGUGCUACUUGUUGGGGUAGUUUGA
rnacentral:pre_miRNA from 1 species